rnacentral:rRNA from 1 species
UACGAAGGGGGGCUAGCGUUGCUCGGAAUGACUGGGCGUAAAGGGCGCGUAGGCGGCUCAUACAGUCAGAUGUGAAAUUCCUGGGCUUAACCUGGGGGGCUGCAUUUGGUACGUGUGGGCUUGAGUGGGGGAAGAGGGUCGUGGAAUUCCCAGUGUAGAGGUGAAAUUCGUAGAUAUUGGGAAGAACACCGGUGGCGAAGGCGGCGACCUGGUCCUUGACUGACGCUGAGGCGCGAAAGCGUGGGGAGCAAACAGG